GUAGUCAUAUGCUUGUCUCAAAGAUUAAGCCAUGCAUGUCUAAGUAUAAGCAAUUUAUACGGUGAAACUGCGAAUGGCUCAUUAAAUCAGUUAUCGUUUAUUUGAUAGUACCUUACUACAUGGAUACCUGUGGUAAUUCUAGAGCUAAUACAUGCUGAAAACCUCGACUUCGGAAGGGGUGUAUUUAUUAGAUAAAAAACCAAUGCCCUUCGGGGCUCCUUGGUGAAUCAUAAUAACUUAACGAAUCGCAUGGCCUUGCGCCGGCGAUGGUUCAUUCAAAUUUCUGCCCUAUCAACUUUCGAUGGUAGGAUAGUGGCCUACCAUGGUGGCAACGGGUAACGGGGAAU
rnacentral:rRNA from 1 species